UACGUAGGGGGCAAGCGUUGUCCGGAAUCAUUGGGCGUAAAGCGCGUGUAGGCGGCUUGGUAAGUCCGCUCUGAAAGCCCGGGGCUCAACCCCGGGAGGCGGGUGGAUACUGUCAAGCUCGAGUCCGGAAGAGGCGAGUGGAAUUCCUGGUGUAGCGGUGAAAUGCGCAGAUAUCAGGAGGAACACCGGUGGCGAAGGCGGCUUGCUGGGCCAGUUCUGACGCUGAGGAGCGAAAGCGUGGGGAGCGAACAGG
rnacentral:rRNA from 1 species